UACGAAGGGAGCUAGCGUUGUUCGGAAUCACUGGGCGUAAAGGGUGCGUAGGCGGGUAUUUAAGUCAGAGGUGAAAUCCUGGAGCUCAACUCCAGAACUGCCUUUGAUACUGAGUAUCUUGAGUACGGGAGAGGUGAGUGGAACUGCGAGUGUAGAGGUGAAAUUCGUAGAUAUUCGCAAGAACACCAGUGGCGAAGGCGGCUCACUGGCCCGUUACUGACGCUGAGGCACGAAAGCGUGGGGAGCAAACAGG
rnacentral:rRNA from 1 species